rnacentral:rRNA from 1 species
GAUAGAGUUUGAUCCUGGCUCAGAUUGAACGCUGGCGGCAUGCUUUACACAUGCAAGUCGAACGGCAGCGCGGGGCAACCUGGCGGCGAGUGGCGAACGGGUGAGUAAUAUAUCGGAACGUACCCAAGAGUGGGGGAUAACGUAGCGAAAGUUACGCUAAUACCGCAUACGAUCUACGGAUGAAAGUGGGGGAUCGCAAGACCUCAUGCUCCUGGAGCGGCCGAUAUCUGAUUAGCUAGUUGGUGAGGUAAAGGCUCACCAAGGCGACGAUCAGUAGCUGGUCUGAGAGGACGACCAGCCACACUGGAACUGAGACACGGUCCAGACUCCUACGGGAGGCAGCAGUGGGGAAUUUUGGACAAUGGGCGCAAGCCUGAUCCAGCAAUGCCGCGUGAGUGAAGAAGGCCUUCGGGUUGUAAAGCUCUUUUGUCAGGGAAGAAACGGCUGAGGCUAAUAUCCUCGGCUAAUGACGGUACCUGAAGAAUAAGCACCGGCUAACUACGUGCCAGCAGCCGCGGUAAUACGUAGGGUGCAAGCGUUAAUCGGAAUUACUGGGCGUAAAGCGUGCGCAGGCGGUUUUGUAAGUCUGUCGUGAAAGCCCCGGGCUCAACCUGGGAAUUGCGAUGGAGACUGCAAGGCUUGAAUCUGGCAGAGGGGGGUAGAAUUCCACGUGUAGCAGUGAAAUGCGUAGAGAUGUGGAGGAACACCGAUGGCGAAGGCAGCCCCCUGGGUCAAGAUUGACGCUCAUGCACGAAAGCGUGGGGAGCAAACAGGAUUAGAUACCCUGGUAGUCCACGCCCUAAACGAUGUCUACUAGUUGUCGGGUCUUAAUUGACUUGGUAACGCAGCUAACGCGUGAAGUAGACCGCCUGGGGAGUACGGUCGCAAGAUUAAAACUCAAAGGAAUUGACGGGGACCCGCACAAGCGGUGGAUGAUGUGGAUUAAUU